ACAUACUUAUCUUCAUUAAUGACAAUGAAAAUAACACGAAAACAGCUUUGAAACAAGAGUUAGGAGUUUGAAACCAGACUGAGGAAGCAGUACAGAAUGAGCCGGACACAUGAACUUUGGUUACCACCACCCUUCCACCACAGACCUCUGGAAUGACCGCCAAUGGAAAAAUUACAUUGUAUCCAAAGGUUCAAGAUGCACAGUCAAAGGCUGACCUGCUUACUGAAGGCAAAGGGACACCCUGCCAAUAUCUGCCCUUCAUGAGAUGCCACCUGCAGGAAUUGGAGACAGGACUCUUAACAAAAGGGCUACCGGGAGCUGGGAUGAGCCCAGUGCAUGGGCCACCUCUCCUCCUAGAUACAAUCGCCACGGUUGCACGUUCCCUCGGUGGAAGAAGAAUCAAGUGUGGGCGGAGGGCGACACCCCGUAGCCCCGGGGUCCGCGGCCCGCCGCUCCCUGCCCAGCACCCACCACGCGCGCAGCCCCGGGGCGGAGGAAGCAGCGCCCAGACGGAAGCGUUCCCCGAGGGUGAAAGGUCAC
rnacentral:lncRNA from 1 species